rnacentral:tRNA from 1 species
GCCUCUGUAGCUCAGUUGGUUAGAGCGCUGCCCCGGAAUCGCAGGGCCGUAGGUUCAAUUCCUACCAGAGGAC